UAGUUGCACUUUAUCAGAAGAUAGGACAGAUGGGGAGGAGGAGCUGAGACCUAACAGGAGGCUCAAUUGUUAUUUUGCUUCUCUGAAGAUGAAGGUUAAGGAGAGAACAAGGUAAUUCAUAGAGAAGGCAAUUUCCCGUGCAGCAAUGGUGAGCACCAGGGGUCCCAGAUGAGGAGAUAACGGUCAUACAUUCCUGAACCUAAAGACAAGAGCUAAGUAAUUCUAUUGGUUGUUUAUAUCUGGCAAAAGAAUAAUUAAAUAAUCUGAACUCUAA